rnacentral:rRNA from 1 species
AUUGAACGCUGGCGGAAUGCUUUACACAUGCAAGUCGAACGGCAGCACGGGGGCAGCCCUGGUGGCGAGUGGCGAACGGGUGAGUAAUACAUCGGAACGUGCCCGGUCGUGGGGGAUAACGUAGCGAAAGUUACGCUAAUACCGCAUACGAUCUGAGGAUGAAAGCGGGGGACCUUCGGGCCUCGCGCGAUCGGAGCGUCCGAUGUCAGAUUAGGUAGUUGGUGGGGUAAAGGCCUACCAAGCCGACGAUCUGUAGCUGGUCUGAGAGGACGACCAGCCACACUGGGACUGAGACACGGCCCAGACUCCUACGGGAGGCAGCAGUGGGGAAUUUUGGACAAUGGGCGCAAGCCUGAUCCAGCCAUUCCGCGUGCAGGACGAAGGCCUUCGGGUUGUAAACUGCUUUUGUACGGAACGAAAAGGCUCUGGCUAAUACCUGGGGCUCAUGACGGUACCGUAAGAAUAAGCACCGGCUAACUACGUG